CAGUGCCUGUCACACUAUGGGCUGGCCAUGCCCGAAGUUGUUUCCUUAACCACAAGACAGGGAUGUAGAAGGUAGGGCUAGUGACUGGAGUGAAGUCAUACCAAGGUAGCCAUACUAGAAGGUGCGGCUG
rnacentral:ncRNA from 1 species